GUUACACCUGUGCAAACAGACAGCAAUUCUUAUGGAGCUGGGGCUUCGCAACACAUGGUCACUUAGAGAUCCUUCUCACUGCACAAAAAUAAAACUGGCUAAGUACAGACAGCUCCACUCCACAGCAAGGUGGGGCACACACGUGUUGUGUGGACCUUUGGAGAAGAAUCAGGGAAUUAACUUCCCAACCAGCAAAGCAGGUACUGGGACCAAGCCUGACAUCUCAGCCCUCAAAAGAGACGAAAAACAGGUCCCUACCCUGCUGCCUAACAGAGGCCAAUGGAAUAAAUCCCAGGAGAGUCAAGUUUAUCUUAAAUUAAACUGAGCCCAGAGUCCCAUGUGACAUUCCAGCGAGCCCACAGCUAUCAACAGCCCAAGCCCACUGCCAGCUCUCACUUUCUCUGGCCUCCUGACUACUAAGGGCUGGAAACGUUUUCUCAGAAAGAGUCAGCAUCGGGUCCUGCCGAGCCACUCUGUGCUCAGAGCCACGUCCUGCAGCACAGAGGCCCGGGGAGCGAGCAGCUGGGCUGGCUCGGCAACGCCGGGGCCGUGGCGCCACCUCGCGGCUCUGCGGCGCCCAGCCCUCCCAGCGGCGUUCCCGACAGGGCGGCUUACUUAUCCAGGCGGACUGCUUCUGUGUAGGCUCUCCUGGCAUUCUCUGUGUCUUCCAGGUUGGUCAGAGCCACUGCAACAAAGAGAGUGAGUGCAGUGGCUGAAGAGCCCAGCGGAGAAAACACAGGCAAUGUUUCAAGACGGCAGUUCAUUCAGCCGCCAAACCUAACUAACUCCUGCUGUGCCCGCCCAGCUCCUGGCACCACCGUCUGCACAGCCACUCAGCUUGGAUUCCAGAGGACGUGGCUGGGAAGAAGGAACAACAGGAAUGGCCUCUGCCCCAAAGCCCUAGCGGUACCACAGCUUCUCCUCCCACCACAAAAUGCCAGCCCCUCUGACCCCAGUUACUUCUCGUAUGUGUUCUUGCCUUGGUUGGAUAAGAACUGUAAUUGCACUAGGCUCAGAUUUAUUUGCUUCUGAUUUGAAUGCUGAAAAUUAAUUCCUUUAGCAGACAAAGAAUAUCAAAUGCA